UCCUUCGGGAAUGGAUUAGUGGCGAACGGGUGAGGAACACGUGAGAAACCUGCCUUUCAUUCUGGGAUAACACCGGGAAACCGGUGCUAAUACCGGAUACUCCGUCUUGGCGGCAUCGCCGAGCCGGGAAAAAAUUUGAUGAAAGAUGGUCUCGCGGCCUAUCAGCUAGUUGGUGAGGUAAUGGCUCACCAAGGCGACGACGGGUAGCCGGCCUGAGAGGGCGACGGCCACACUGGGACUGAGACACGGCCCAGACUCCUACGGGAGGCAGCAGUAGGGAAUAUUGGGCAAUGGGCGCAAGCCUGACCCAGCGACGCCGCGUGAGGGAUGAAGGUCUUCGGAUUGUAAACCUCUUUCAGUAGGGAAGAAGCGAAAGUGACGGUACCUAAAGAAGAAGCACCGGCUAACUAUGUGCCAGCAGCCGCGGUAAUACAUAGGGUGCAAGCGUUGUCCGGAAUUAUGGGCGUAAAGAGCUCGUAGGUCGUUUGUCGCGUCGAUUGUGAAAAUCUGAGGCUCAACCUCAGACCUGCAGUCGAUACGGGCAAACUAGAGUGUGGUAGGGGAGACUGGAAUUCCUGGUGUAGCGGUGGAAUGCGCAGAUAUCAGGAGGAACACCAAUGGCGAAGGCAGGUCUCUGGGCCAUAACUGACACUGAGGAGCGAAAGCGCGGGGAGCGAACAGGAUUAGAUACCCUGGUAGUCCGCGCCGUAAACGAUGGGCACUAGCUGUGAGAGCCUUCCACGGUUCUCGCGACGCAGCAAACGCAUUAAGUGCCCCGCCUGGGGAGUACGAUCGCAAGAUUAAAACUCAAAGGAAUUGACGGGGCCCCGCACAAGCAGCGGAGCAUGCGGCUUAAUUCGACGCAACGCGAAGAACCUUACCAAGGCUUGACAUAUAGUGAAAAGUGCCAGAGAUGUCAUGUCCGCAAGGGCGCUAUACAGUUGGUGCAUGGUUGUCGUCAGCUCGUGUCGUGAGAUUUUGGUUUAAUUCCCGCAACGAGCGCAACCCUCGUUCUGUGUUACCAGCAUUACUUUGGGGACUCACAGGAGACUGCCCGGGUCAACUCGGAGAAAGUUGGGAAUAACUCAAUCAUCAGCCCCUAAGUUCUUGGCCUCCAACCCAUGUACCAUGGCCCGUCCAAUUCUCCGAAUUCGUAGAUUAACCGAUUCACCAUAAACCGUCUCAGUUCGAUUGAGUCUCAACUCGACCUCAUGAAGUCG
rnacentral:rRNA from 1 species